rnacentral:lncRNA from 1 species
GGAUAAAUUGCAUGUUUAUUCUCAAACUACAAGGCAUGUGACACUUUGAUUCUUAAAUUUUAAUUUAUUAUAUAAUUUCUGACUCCAAUUUUUAAAAUUAUUACAAUUCAGUCUCACAACCUAAUUUAGUUAACUAAAUAUUGACGGAUCUCUGAUAUAAAAAAUCGAUGUAAUAUCGUAAUUAUUAGAGUAUAAUCAAUCACAAUAUUAUAACAUCACUUAUAUAUAUCAACUGUUCGUCAAUAUUUAAUCAACUAAAUUAGCUAGAUUAUAGAACUUAAUUGCGUCAUUUCUGAUAGUUUGAGUCAAAAAUUAUAACAAACCAAAGUUUAAGGACCAAAAUGUCACCCCCG